AUAAUCAAGCCUAUUUUUAAUUUACUUAUACUUAAAAAAAUACGUACACCAUUAUCAUAGUAUAUUAAAGCAUGUAGAAAAAAGUUAUACUAAGAUAACACAACAUUUAAGUUGUAAGAGCCCAUUUUUGCCCGGGCCCAUACCAGCAAAAUACCAAAAAUCAAAAUAAAUCAAAUAGUCCAUUACAAUGGCCUAAUAUGGCCCAAAACCCACUAUACCCAAUGGCCCAAAUCACCUAAGCGAAACCCUAACAGCUAGGGCCUUUAGCGCCGCAUCAGAUGCCACCACGCCCCACACUCGCACAAGCCUCGUAUGCGUGCCUUCUCCUCCGUACAUGCCACAUCCGCAACCUCUGCACACAGUACCUGCCAAAGACGAGCAAACACAGCAGAAAGCAGGCACGAACAAAACGAAAAAGGGGCACAGAGAAAAAAAGAGGGCAGAACGAGGGCAAUUGGUGGAUUUUUAUUUCUGAUUUUCUUUUCUUUUUGUAAAUAGAUAAUAUAAAAAGACCAAAGAAAGUUGUAAAAGAUAGACAAUAAAAAAUAUAUAAAAAAAUAUACAGAGGUUGAAGAAAAAAACCUUUCUCUGAGAUCGUUUUUCGAAAGGUAGAUCUGGCUCUUCUUUGGUUUUCUUUCUCGAUUUCGUUCUUUUUUGCUUUCUUUCAACAAACAACGUAUACAAGUUAAGAGGGAGCGAAUACUUACCUUGAUGAUCCCGUAGUCGUUCUCAUCAGAGUCGUGGCUACCGGAGGACCCAUGGACGGUUUAGUCCGAGAACAGCGCAAAAGGGAGAGAGGAAAAACUUUUUUUCUUUUUCAUUAUUUUUUUAGGUGGCCGAAUAACCC
rnacentral:lncRNA from 1 species